rnacentral:rRNA from 1 species
AUUGAACGCUGGCGGCAUGCCUAACACAUGCAAGUCGAACGGCAGCACGGGGGCAACCCUGGUGGCGAGUGGCGGACGGGUGAGGAAUGCAUAGGAAUCUGCCCAGUUGUGGGGGAUAACGUAGGGAAACUUACGCUAAUACCGCAUACGACCUACGGGUGAAAGAGGGGGACCUUCGGGCCUCUCGCGAUUGGAUGAGCCUAUGCCGGAUUAGCUAGUUGGCGGGGUAAGAGCCCACCAAGGCGACGAUCCGUAGCUGGUCUGAGAGGAUGAUCAGCCACACUGGAACUGAGACACGGUCCAGACUCCUACGGGAGGCAGCAGUGGGGAAUAUUGGACAAUGGGCGCAAGCCUGAUCCAGCAAUGCCGCGUGUGUGAAGAAGGCCUUCGGGUUGUAAAGCACUUUUGUUUGGGAAGAAAUCCGGUUGGUUAAUACCUGAUCGGGAUGACGGUA